AGUGUGGGAAGCAGUUGACUUCUGUGUGAUUCUGUGGUCUGAUGUUUGGCACGCUUUGUUUUUGAAGCACAAAUGUCAACACAGUGAAGAAGCUGAAUAACCAGUACAUGGCACUGAUACUAAGCAUUGCGUCAGGACAGAUUCUGACUGCAAGGAGCGUACAGGCCCACCAAGAGUAGUUUAAAGCUUUUAUGAAGACAAAGACCAUAUCCACCUCUCUUGGUUUAACUAUCAUGAAGUCUGAUGGAAUCCUACCAUUUGAGGAUAAAUGGGGAGCCUGGAGGACUUUACGUUUUUCAAAGUGUUUCAUGGAACCCGCAUCAAAGUCACCAGGGUGUUCAUUUUGAAUCCAAAUUAUGGGGUCUCAUCACAAACCUUCUGAAUCAAAACUCCGGUGGCCCACAAGGAAAUACAUACCAAACUGGAAAUGAAGUACAGAGACAUCUAUCUGAAUCUUAUCUUCAGCUUCUCUGAGGCUCCACGCAGGGAGAAUUUACACACGUGUCGAUCUGAUGGCACGCCCCUCCCAACCUCGAUGUCACCUGACCCUGAAAGACUUUAUUCUCUUUUUAAGAGAUGAUGUUAAUCUAUCAAAAGGAAACACUAUAGAGAAGGAAGCCCAAACUCCCAGAAUGGACAGACAGACACAAGGGUGGAGUGAAACUGGACUUCACAUCUGGAAAUUCCCUCAUUCCUCCUUUGCUUCUCUAGUCUUGGCGUUAUUUUAACAUCAGGCAGAGGUGACCGUUUGGCGUAAGUGGAAGCCCUUAGCAAAAUGAUCAUUUAGUGAAACCUGGGUUUAGAAUUCUGUCUCAAGUCAACAGGGGACACUAUUUUAACAAAUGUCCAAGUUCUAAAGAUCCUGAGCAAAACUUACAGUUAGACUGCUCGCUCAAAGAUCCACUACCUUGGGUUCUGACUUGCGGUCAGGGGUAUGUUUCUCAGUUCAGACGAGGCAAUAAUAUGUGUAGCUGAGAUUGCAGGAAUAAGAGGAAAUUCCUGGUGAGGCCACCCCCUUGCUGGACAAGCCACUUUAUCUAUGUGGCCUGUUUCAACAUUUACAAAUUGAAGUGGUACUGAAUUAUAUCAUCCUGAGGUCUCUUUCAGUUUUAACACUGUCAUUUUUUUUUAAAUAAGUGUUUUCUGAGCAUUUUGAAGUUUAUGUUUGUGAUUAUAAAAUGUGUUUAUUGAAGAAAUAGUAGAUGAAGAGAAAUGAAUCUUUUUAAUAUCAUUACCUAGAGACAACCCUGCUGUUGAUAUUUUAUGUUCUCAAUCAUAUUUUCUACUAACAUAUAGUUCUACAUACUAAGUAUCACGUGAAAUGCAUAUUCACCUCUAGGGCUCCUGCAGCCCACAGUGACUGAUGGUGUGACCUGACUUUUCUGGCCACUGGACUCAAG